NNAAAUUUGAGUGGAUCUGAUUCUAGUACGAGAGGACCGAAUUGGACCAACCUCUAGUGCAUCUGUUGUCUCGCCAGGGGCAUCGCAGAGUAGCUACGUUGGGCAGGGGAUAAGCGCUGAAAGCAUAUAAGUGCGAAACCCACCACAAGAUGAGAUUUCUUUAAAGAGCCGUUGAAGAUGACAACGUUGAUAGGCUAUAGAUGUAAAGGCAGUAAUGUCAUAGUCAAGUAGUACUAAUAGCUCGU
rnacentral:ncRNA from 1 species